UACGUAGGGUGCAAGCGUUGUCCGGAAUUAUUGGGCGUAAAGAGCUCGUAGGCGGUCUGUCGCGUCGGCUGUGAAAACUCGGGGCUCAACCCCGAGCCUGCAGUCGAUACGGGCAGACUAGAGUCCGGCAGGGGAGACUGGAAUUCCUGGUGUAGCGGUGAAAUGCGCAGAUAUCAGGAGGAACACCGGUGGCGAAGGCGGGUCUCUGGGCAGUAACUGACGCUGAGGAGCGAAAGCGUGGGGAGCGAACAGG
rnacentral:rRNA from 1 species